UACAGAGGUCUCAAGCGUUGUUCGGAUUCAUUGGGCGUAAAGGGUGCGUAGGUGGCGAGGUAAGUCGGGCGUGAAAUCCCGGGGCUCAACCCCGGAACUGCGUUCGAUACUGCUUUGCUUGAGGACUGGAGAGGAGACUGGAAUUCACGGUGUAGCAGUGAAAUGCGUAGAUAUCGUGAGGAACACCGGUGGCGAAGGCGGGUCUCUAGACAGUUCCUGACACUGAGGCACGAAGGCCAGGGGAGCAAACGGGAUUAGAAACCCCAGUAGUCC
rnacentral:rRNA from 1 species